AUACGAAGGGUGCAAGCGUUACUCGGAAUUACUGGGCGUAAAGCGUGCGUAGGCGGUUUGUUUAAGUCUGUCGUGAAAGCCCCGGGCUCAACCUGGGAAUGGCGAUGGAUACUGGCAAGCUAGAGUGUGUCAGAGGAUGGUGGAAUUCCCGGUGUAGCGGUGAAAUGCGUAGAGAUCGGGAGGAACACCAGUGGCGAAGGCGGCCAUCUGGGACAACACUGACGCUGAGGCACGAAAGCGUGGGGAGC
rnacentral:rRNA from 1 species